GCCCCUAUAGUCUAGUGGUCAAGGACGUCGCCCUCUCGCGGCGGAAACCCGAGUUCAAAUCUCGGUGGGGGCA
rnacentral:tRNA from 1 species